rnacentral:rRNA from 1 species
CGUGUAGCCGGGAAGGCAAGUCAGAUGUGAAAUCCACGGGCUUAACUCGUGAACUGCAUUUGAAACUACUUUUCUUGAGUAUCGGAGAGGCAAUCGGAAUUCCUAGUGUAGCGGUGAAAUGCGUAGAUAUUAGGAGGAACACCAGUGGCGAAGGCGGCUUACUGGACGGUAACUGACGUUGAGGCUCGAAAGCGUGGGGAGCAAACA